AUGAACGCUGGCGGCGUGCCUAAUACAUGCAAGUCGAGCGAACGGACGAGAAGCUUGCUUCUCUGAUGUUAGCGGCGGACGGGUGAGUAACACGUGGAUAACCUACCUAUAAGACUGGGAUAACUUCGGGAAACCGGAGCUAAUACCGGAUAAUAUUUUGAACCGCAUGGUUCAAAAGUGAAAGACGGUCUUGCUGUCACUUAUAGAUGGAUCCGCGCUGCAUUAGCUAGUUGGUAAGGUAACGGCUUACCAAGGCAACGAUGAAUAGCCGACCUGAGAGGGUGAUCGGCCACACUGGAACUGAGACACGGUCCAGACUCCUACGGGAGGCAGCAGUAGGGAAUCUUCCGCAAUGGGCGAAAGCCUGACGGAGCAACGCCGCGUGAGUGAUGAAGGUCUUCGGAUCGUAAAACUCUGUUAUUAGGGAAGAACAUAUGUGUAAGUAACUGUGCACAUCUUGACGGUACCUAAUCAGAAAGCCACGGCUAACUACGUG
rnacentral:rRNA from 1 species